rnacentral:rRNA from 1 species
AAUGAACGCUGGCGGCAUGCCUAACACAUGCAAGUCGAACGAGAACACCGGGUCUUGUGGCGUAUGGCUGCGUCACCCGAGGGAACCUGACCUUAGGUUUGGCCUACCUCUCCGACAGGGGUGCUAAUACCGGAUAUUGUCUACGGACCAAUGAUUUAUUGCGCUUGGAUGGGCCAGCGUUGGAUUCGGUGGUUGGUAGGGUAAUAGCCUACCACGGCGACGAUCCAUAGCUGGUCAGAGAGGAUGAUCAGCCACACUGAGACUGGGACCCGGCCGAGACUCCUACGCGAGGCAGCAGUGGGGAAUAUAGGACAGUCGGCGAAGGCCUGAUCGAGCAAGGCCGCGAAAGUGAUGAAGUCCUGAGAGAUGUAAAGCUCAAUUACCCGUGAUGAUAUUGACAGUACCGGGAGAGUAAGCUCCGGCUAACUUCGUG